UGGGGAAUCUUGCGCAAUGGGCGAAAGCCUGACGCAGCCAUGCCGCGUGUAUGAUGAAGGUCUUAGGAUUGUAAAAUACUUUCACCGGUGAAGAUAAUGACUGUAGCCGGAGAAGAAGCCCCGGCUAACUUCGUGCCAGCAGCCGCGGUAAUACGAAGGGGGCUAGCGUUGCUCGGAAUUACUGGGCGUAAAGGGAGCGUAGGCGGACAUUUAAGUCAGAGGUGAAAUCCCGGAGCUUAACUUCGGAACUGCCUUUGAUACUGGGUGUCUUGAGUGUGAGAGAGGUAUGUGGAACUCCGAGUGUAGAGGUGAAAUUCGUAGAUAUUCGGAAGAACACCAGUGGCGAAGGCGACAUACUGGCUCAUUACUGACGCUGAGGCUCGAAAGCGUGGGGAGCAAACA
rnacentral:rRNA from 2 species